rnacentral:rRNA from 1 species
CCCCUAUUGCCAGUUACCAGCGAGUAAUGUCGGGGACUCUGGUGAGACUGCCGGGGACAACUCGGAGGAAGGUGGGGAUGACGUCAAAUCAUCAUGCCCCUUAUGUCUUGGGCUACACACGUGCUACAAUGGCUGAAACAAAGGGAAGCGACAACGUAAGUUGAAGCGGAUCUCAUAAAAACAGCCCAGUUCGGAUUGUGGGCUGCAACCCNCCCACAUGAAGUCGGAGUUGCUAGUAAUCGCGUAACAGCAUGACGCGGUGAAUACGUUCCCGGGCCUUGUACACACCGCCCGUCACACCAUGGGAAUUGGGUCUACCCGAAGACGGUGCGCCAACCAGCAAUGGAGGCAGCUGGCCACGGUAGGCUCAGUGACUGGGG